GUUUUCUCAGCCUGUUUGAGAAUUUUUUCUCUUUUCGACUUUAGUUUCCCUUUGGUUUUCCAUCUUUCGCUAUGAAUCAUAGGCCUGGUUUCGAUUUUAAACUUUGAACAUGGGACAUGCCUGGGAGACCUUAAUGAUCUUAAUUUUCAAUUCAAUUACAGGAUCUAUUUACCAAAAUCACUCUAUCUGAUGACCCAGGAACGUGCAGGAAGACACGAGAAGUGAAAUUUGGGCUCUCAUCUGGGCUCACCAUGGGUGCGUGGUGCUCUGCAGAAGUGGCCACAAUCCUGAGGGGACAGCAGAUGACUUCCGGUCCAAAGGGAGCCUGGCUUCAACUACCGGCCUGGGAAAAAGCUGCAGAAAAGAGUUUGGGCAAAACAAAAGUGAGCAUUCGCUGGUUCUGCUCAUCAGACGCUUCCCUGAAGCCAGCCCAUUGUUGUGCUAGUCACUGAUGACCCUGGUGAUUCUGGCCGCCUGCGUGCCUCUCCCGCUGUGUGGGAAACACACUUUACCUUGUGGCUCCGCCCUUCAAAGGUUCUGUUUGCCGCACGGAAGAGCUGUUGACUCUGCCAAUCGGGAACGUCUCAUUGCAUCCUUUUUCCACACCAUCUGUCUGACCUGGACCCAUUCCAAACACUACGGCUCUGCUGGCAGAAUGGUCUUCCUGCUACAGAAGUUGUGUAAUCUGCUAAUUGACAGGGCAUCCCGUUUGUGCAUAAUCACGCACUCUCCCCUGUGUUCUCUGCCUCAUUGAGAAUAUGGCAUCCUUCGGAGAAGAACACCGAUGUGGUCUACCAGAGAAUUAUCCUCUACCUGGUGUACUCAUGAAGCAACGAUUUUAUUAUUAUUAUCUCUUUGUAGUAUGAGACAGAUGGCAAAGCAGGAGUUUGCUUUACUGAACGCGAUGCAGUGUUGGUCACGGCAAAUCGCCCGGGAUGGUUAAUAUCUUCAGUCGUUGUUGUGUCUGAUGAGCGUCUUCGCUUUGGUACAAGGCCUGGUCCUACGCUCAGGCCCUCAUUUAAGUGCCAAGUUGUUGUCGAUCCUCUUUUCGUGCCCAUAGGCUAAGGGUAGAAGAAUCCUAGAGAAGGAAAUAUCUUUAAAACAUUUUUUUUUAACGUUUACUUAUUUUUGAGACAGAGACAGAGCAUGAACGGGGGAGGGUCAGAGAGAGAGGGAGACACAGAAUCUGAAACAGGCUCCAGGCUCUGAGCUGUCAGCACAGAGCCCGACGCGGGGCUCGAACUCACGGACCGCGAGAUCGUGACCUGAGCCGAAGUCGGCCGCUUAACCGACUGAGCCACCCAGGCGCCCCGAGAUGGAAAUAUCUUUAAAAUCGCGCUGUUCGAGUGCACCCUUGGGGUCAUCCUUCUCUUAAAAUUGUGCUUUUAAAUCUUAGCGUGAGCAAACCCCACAUCAGCAGGCGUGGUCGCGUGCAACAACCAGACCCGUGUCCCUAAAGCACGGUCCGCUCUACACAGGAGCUACUGGCCCAUGUUGGGGAUAGUGCACGAGUCGGGGGUGACACCAAGGCUCUGGCCUCCACAGGUCCCUCUCUCAGCUGUACCCCUCGACCCGCACUGAACAACGCUCAGCAAGAGGAAAGAUGAGAACGGAAGAGGGCUUCUUCCCUACCUUUGAAAACUUCAAAGACGUCGUUCCCAAUCUGGUUCUGAUGAUCCAUGUCUCAGUGCAAAGCAUCCAUAAAGAUCUAAAACCUGUGCACUGAUCAGAAAUCGUUUUUGGAAAUUCGGAUUUAAUCCCAUGAGCCAAAUGAUCACUACCAACAGCGAUCAGGGAAAACCAAAGUCCACAGCAAAUUUUCAUUUGGCAAAUGCAUAAAAUGUUCAAAAGAGCAGAGGUCUCAUUUACAUUCCUUCCUCUCAUAUGGGAUUUUCUUCUAUAUUAGUAAUUAAAGGGUGCAGGCUAUAGAGUGCAACUAUAUCACAUAAUAGCCAUCGGGGACGCACUAACAACUUCCUUGAAGUAACGCACACUAGGGUGUUUAUGGUUCAGUGUCACAUAGACUCUCUUUGAUCUAAAUUAGGAUUCAUUGGCAAACUCACAAUAGGCUCCACAUGUACCCCUCUCAACCUCUUUCUUUUAAUCAUGGAAAUUAGAGAUGGAAAAUACCCAUUAAGUCACUUAGUUCACUUCCCUGCCAGGGUGAAAUUGUGGCCUGUGAUACACGGGCAGUGUUUGGUCCAGCUUACAUCUAAAUGUCUCAGGGGACAUGCAGCCUCUUGGUUUUAUAGUUUUCCUUUUUCACUUACAGUUCGAAGAGGGGGCAAAUACACAACAGAGGAAGAGACUCCCUCCCCUCCUCACGCACUGGAGUUAAUGCUGGCGGGUGAGUGAAUGUGCUCACGGCCUGUCAGCCUUCUGGAAACCACACCUUUUGCUGUGGCAAUUUCAUUACUCAUAAGGUACACAGUUAAAUUCAACCCCCAUCCCCAACAUGUUUUACUCUUCAGCUCAGUGAAACUCUCCAGGUUCCUGGACUUUUCCUGUAAACUCGAGCCAGCAAGCACCCCAGGUUUGGUGGGAGGGGCGAGGCCCAGGAAGGGAGAGCCAAUUUUAGGGUCUCUGGUUGAUUCGUUGUAAACUGCACAGGCCUUCCUGUGAUGUCACUGGCACAGUGUGAGCUCAUGAAUGGAACACUGCCUAUGUUAUUCUGGUGAGUGACCCAUUGGGGUAUUUUUAUACUUUUGGCAUCUGAAAGAUGAGAGAUGUGCGUCGUUGCACGAUGAAUUCUGUCCCUGACUCGUGUUCAACAACAGCACACUGUCACUCAGCAUCUGCUCAUAUGUCUGGCUCUUGAAGUCAGUUCGAGGGGAAAGCAGCAAAAUCCCAGGGACCAUCUCGCCACUGGGGUCUCUGGGAGACACGCGGCGGCUGAGACUUCAAACAGGAGCCGACACCCAUCGUGACACUUGCAUUUGGGGUUUGCGUCAGGGGCCGAGUUUUAGUCUGCCGAAAUCGCCGGAGAGCUGGCACUAACUUAGAACAGUCUAAGCGAACGUUUCAAAUCCAGACACAGACGUGUUAAGAAUAUGAUCAUUCAGGUUAUAAGAUGGAGGUCUCCCCCACCCCAAUUCACUGCAAGUUUCACUAAAUAGUUAACUGAAGGAGGAUCCGGUUUGCAAAACCUGAUGUGCAACUGUGUCUGAGAAGAUACCCGUUGUGGUUUCUAUUAGACAAAAAAAUGUUUGCCUUUCUGUACAUCUGUGUUAACUAUGCAUUCACAUACUUUCUAGGGCUUCUACAGGGGACAAUGUAUUCCUGCUAUGAUUCUUACUUUAAAUACCUUUGAGUGGCGGGGCACCUGGGUGGCUCAGCCGGUUGAGCGUCCGACUUCGGCUCAGGUCAUGAUCUCACGGUCCGUGAGUUCGAGCCCCUCGUCGGGCUCUGUGCUGACAGCUCAGAGCCUGGAGCCUGCUUCAGAUUCUGUGUCUCCCUCUCUCUCUGACCCUCCCCCAUUCAUGCUCUGUCUCUCUCUGUCUCAAAAAUAAACAUUAAAAAAAAAAUUAAAUACCUUUCA
ensembl:lncRNA